CGAGUUCCUCGCUAAUGUUCGGAUUUGUUUACCAAUGAUGCAAGUAAUUUAGUCAGAGUAACAAAGUAACGACUAGUUGUUUAAGUUAAAAGGUAGAUUUAAUAUUCCGGAUAUGAGCGAGGAAUGUCGGCGAGCGGCGGACGGCUGAGUAGCGCGUAGGAACAUACCCCAAAGUGAGGCAUAACCGCCCGAAAGGGUGGCUAAUACCGCAUAUUGUCUUCGGAUGAAAGCUUUUAGCGCUUUGGGAAUGGCCUGCGUUUGAUUAGCUAGUUGGUGAGGUAAGGGCUUACCAAGGCGAUGAUCAAUAGCUGGUUUGAGAGAAUGAUCAGCCAGACUGGAACUGAGACACGGUCCAGACUCCUACGGGAGGCAGCAGUUGGGAAUUUUCCACAAUGGGCGAAAGCCUGAUGGAGCAACGCCGCGUGCAGGAAGAAUGCCUUCGGGUUGUAAACUGCUUUUAUGUGCGAAGAAUAUGACGGUAGCAUAUGAAUAAGGGUCGGCUAACUACGUG
rnacentral:rRNA from 1 species